rnacentral:rRNA from 1 species
UGGGGAAUAUUGCACAAUGGGGGAAACCCUGAUGCAGCGACGCCGCGUGAACGAAGAAGUUAUUCGUAUCGUAAAGUUCUGUCCUAUGGGAAGAUAAUGACAGUACCAUAGAAGAAAGCUCCGGCUAAAUACGUGCCAGCAGCCGCGGUAAUACGUAUGGAGCGAGCGUUGUCCGGAAGUAUUGGGCGUAAAGGGUACGCAGGCGGUUUAAUAAGUCGAAUGUUAAAGAUCGGGGCUCAACCCCGCAAAGCAUUGGAAACUGAUAAACUUGAGUAGUGGAGAGGAAAGUGGAAUUCCUAGUGUAGUGGUGAAAUACGUAGAUAUUAGGAGGGAUACCAGUAGCGAAGGCGACUUUCUGGACACAAACUGACGCUGAGGGACGAAAGCGUGGGGGGCAAACAGG